ACGGAGUUAGCCGGAGCUUCUUCUGUAGGUACCGUCAUUAUCUUCCCUACCGAAAGAGUUUUACAACCCUAGGGCCUUCUUCACUCACGUGGCAUUGCUGGAUCAGGCUUUCGCCCAUUGUCCAAUAUUCCUC
rnacentral:rRNA from 1 species